rnacentral:rRNA from 1 species
AAUGAACGCUGGCGGCAGGCCUAAAACAUGCAAGUCGAACGCCCUAGCAAUAGGGAGUGGCGCACGGGUGAGUAACAUGUGGGAAUAUGCCUUUUGGUACGGAACAACGUUUGGAAACGAACGCUAAUACCGUAUGGUCCCUCCGGGGUAAAGAUUUAUCGCCAAAAGAUUAGCCCGCACUAGAUUAGCUAGUUGGUAAGGUAAUGGCUUACCAAGGCGACGAUCUAUAGCUGUUCUGAGAGGAAGAUCAGCCACACUGGGACUGAGACACGGCCCAGACUCCUACGGGAGGCAGCAGUUAGGAAUAUUGGACAAUGGGCGCAAGCCUGAUCCAGCCAUGCCGCGUGAGUGAUGAAGGCCUUCGGGUUGUAAAGCUCUUUAGUCCACGAAUAUAAUGACUGUAGUGGAAGAAUAAGCCCCGGCUAACUUCGUGCCAGCCGCCGCGGUAAAAC